GGAGGAAAAGAACUAACAAGGAUUCCCCUAGUAACUGCGAGUGAAGCGGGAAAAGCUCAAAUUUAAAAUCUGGCAGUCUUUGGCUGUCCGAGUUGUAAUCUAGAGAAGUGUUGCCCGCGCUGGACCGUGUACAAGUCUCCUGGGAUGGAGCGUCAUAGAGGGUGAGAAUCCCGUCUCUGACACGGACUACCAGGGCUUUGUGGUAUGCUCUCAAAGAGUCGAGUUGUUUGGGAAUGCAGCUCAAAAUGGGUGGUAAAUUCCAUCUAAAGCUAAAUAUUGGCGAGAGACCGAUAGCGAACAAGUACCGUGAGGGAAAGAUGAAAAGAACUUUGGAAAGAGAGUUAAACAGUACGUGAAAUUGCUGAAAGGGAAACGCUUGAAGUCAGUCUCGUUAGCUGGGGAUCAGCCUUGCUUCUUUGCUAGGUGUAUUUCCUGGUUGAUGGGUCAGCAUCAAUUUUGACCGCUGGAAAAAGGCUUGAGGAAUGUGGCACCUCCGUGGUGUGUUAUAGCUUCUUGUCACAUACAGUGGUUGGGAUUGAGGAACUCAGCACGCCGCAAGGCCGGGUUUYGACCACGUUCGUGCUUAGGAUGCUGACAAAAUGGCUUUA
rnacentral:rRNA from 1 species